UCUUCGCUGACGAGUGGCGGACGGGUGAGUAAUGUCUGGGAAGCUGCCUGAUGGAGGGGGAUAACUACUGGAAACGGUAGCUAAUACCGCAUAAUGUCGCAAGACCAAAGAGGGGGACCUUCGGGCCUCUUGCCAUCGGAUGUGCCCAGAUGGGAUUAGCUUGUUGGUGGGGUAACGGCUCACCAAGGCGACGAUCCCUAGCUGGUCUGAGAGGAUGACCAGCCACACUGGAACUGAGACACGGUCCAGACCCCUACGGGAGGCAGCAGUGGGGAAUAUUGCACAAUGGGCGCAAGCCUGAUGCAGCCAUGCCGCGUGUAUGAAGAAGGCCUUCGGGUUGUAAAGUACUUUCAGCGGGGAGGAAGGGAGUAAAGUUAAUACCUUUGCUCAUUGACGUUACCCGCAGAAGAAGCACCGGCUAACUCCGUGCCAGCAGCCGCGGUAAUACGGAGGGUGCAAGCGUUAAUCGGAAUUACUGGGCGUAAAGCGCACGCAGGCGGUUUGUUAAGUCAGAUGUGAAAUCCCCGGGCUCAACCUGGGAACUGCAUCUGAUACUGGCAAGCUUGAGUCUCGUAGAGGGGGGUAGAACUCCAGGUGUAGCGGUGAAAUGCGUAGAGAUCUGGAGGAAUACCGGUGGCGAAGGCGGCCCCCUGGACGAAGACUGACGCUCASGUGCGAAAGCGUGKGGAGCAAACAGGAUUAGAUACCCUGGUAGUCCACGCCGUAAACGAUGUCGACUUGGAGGUUGUGCCCUUGAGGCGUGGCUUCCGGAGCUAACGCGUUAAGUCGACCGCCUGGGGAGUACGGCCGCAAGGUUAAAACUCAAAUGAAUUGACGGGGGCCCGCACAAGCGGUGGAGCAUGUGGUUUAAUUCGAUGCAACGCGAAGAACCUUACCUGGUCUUGACAUCCACGGAAGUUUUCAGAGAUGAGAAUGUGCCUUCGGGAACCGUGAGACAGGUGCUGCAUGGCUGUCGUCAGCUCGUGUUGUGAAAUGUUGGGUUAAGUCCCGCAACGAGCGCAACCCUUAUCCUUUGUUGCCAGCGGUCCGGCCGGGAACUCAAAGGAGACUGCCAGUGAUAAACUGGAGGAAGGUGGGGAUGACGUCAAGUCAUCAUGGCCCUUACGACCAGGGCUACACACGUGCUACAAUGGCGCAUACAAAGAGAAGCGACCUCGCGAGAGCAAGCGGACCUCAUAAAGUGCGUCGUAGUCCGGAUUGGAGUCUGCAACUCGACUCCAUGAAGUCGGAAUCGCUAGUAAUCGUGGAUCAGAAUGCCACGGUGAAUACGUUCCCGGGCCUUGUACACACCGCCCGUCACACCAUGGGAGUGGGUUGCAAAAGAAGUAGGUAGCUUAAC
rnacentral:rRNA from 1 species